AUUGAACGCUGGCGGAAUGCUUUACACAUGCAAGUCGAACGGCAGCACGGACUUCGGUCUGGUGGCGAGUGGCGAACGGGUGAGUAAUACAUCGGAACGUGCCCAAUCGUGGGGGAUAACGUAGCGAAAGCUACGCUAAUACCGCAUACGAUCUAAGGAUGAAAGCGGGGGAUCGCAAGACCUCGCGCGAUUGGAGCGGCCGAUGGCAGAUUUGGUAGUUGGUAGGGUAAAGGCCUACCAAGCCGACGAUCUGUAGCUGGUCUGAGAGGAUGAUCAGCCACACUGGGACUGAGACACGGCCCAGACUCCUACGGGAGGCAGCAGUGGGGAAUUUUGGACAAUGGACGCAAGUCUGAUCCAGCCAUUCCGCGUGCAGGAUGAAGGCCCUCGGGUUGUAAACUGCCUUUGUACAGAACGAAAAGGCUCUGGUUAAUACCUAGGGCUCAUGACGGUACUGUAAGAAUAAGCACCGGCUAACUACGUGCCAGCAGCCGCCGCAG
rnacentral:rRNA from 1 species